rnacentral:rRNA from 1 species
GAUGAACGCUAGCUACAGGCUUAACACAUGCAAGUCGAGGGGAAACGACAUCGAAAGCUUGCUUUUGAUGGGCGUCGACCGGCGCACGGGUGAGUAACGCGUAUCCAACCUGCCCAUCACUUGGGAAUAACCUUGCGAAAGUAAGACUAAUACCCAAUGACAUCCCACGAAGACAUCUGAAUGGGAUUAAAGAUUUAUCGGUGAUGGAUGGGGAUGCGUCUGAUUAGCUUGUUGGCGGGGUAACGGCCCACCAAGGCAACGAUCAGUAGGGGUUCUGAGAGGAAGGUCCCCCACAUUGGAACUGAGGCACGGUCCAAACUCCUACGGGAGGCAGCAGUGAGGAAGAUUGGUCAAUGGGCGAGAGCCUGAACCAGCCAAGUAGCGUGCAGGAUGACGGCCCUAUGGGUUGUAAACUGCUUUUAUAAGGGAAUAAAGUGGGUCUCGUGAGACUUUUUGCAUGUACCUUAUGAAUAAGGACCGGCUAAUUCCGUG